ACAAUGGAUGGUAUUUUACUUCUGGCUUUCAGUGGCUUGAAUCGAGACCAAAAAUUUUGCAGCCCCCUUGCCCACACACAGCCACCCCUCCCUGCUGCGCUCCCAGCUCCCACCUGGGUGGCUGAGCUUCUUCCCCACCCUAAGGACAGCAAUGGUGGGAUGGGCUCCCUUUUUGUUUCUGGAGGUCCAAAUCACAUCUCUUGGGUGCCAAGGUGCCCACUGCCAGGACAUAAACCCCAGGCUACACUGUUUGGGUCCAGGGCAGGAGCUGGUGGCUCUUCCGGCAGUGGUUUAUCUGAAUACAGCAAGCCUUUAAUUAAACUACCUUUCAAUAAUUUACACGGCAGUUGUCCACCUGCCCAAACUGCUCCGGGGUUGUGGUUGCAGCUGGAACAGAAACAGAAUCUUAAACCCUCACAGUUAAAGGGACUCAGGAGAGAUCAGGAAAGCAUCAGAGCAAAGGCGGAUUUUAACAAGAUGCCCCAUUAUUUGCGGGUCCAAGAGAUGAGCUGCAUCCUCCUAGGUGUCAAAGAAAAGCUGUGAUACAUCUUGUAACAAGGUGGUAAGGCAAAAAACCCACCCUGAAUGUCUUCUGCCCAAAAGGAGAUGGUCCUGUCUGCAGCAGAACCCAAACCUGGAUGUUUUCCUGAAGCCCAAGCUUCAGAGAUAAUGGCAUUAUGGAGUGAGGGGUAGGAUGGAGCACCCAUGAUGUCACUGUGAAGGACAUGGUCACUCCCCCAUGCUGCAUGGAGAGAGGUGUUGGGGAGGAUUUGGCCCCAGGCAAGUUGUGUCAGGCCCCUUCAGAGAGGUCACAGAGGCUGGGGGAGGUGCCCAUCACCUGGGGACUGUCAGGUACAGCCCCAACUCUGGAGGACAUUCCCGAGCUCCCAGGGCUGGCAUGGAAGGCACGAGCACUGGCAUGCCAGAAGUUGUCAUCCCAAUCACGCUCAUCCUUCCAGGGAGGGAUGAGACAGCAUUGUGCUUUAAAGAGCAUCCCGACCCUAUCAGCAAGAGAUGAGAUAUCCUAAUUAUGGCAGUACAGGCGAGGAUCCGGGCUGUAUCAGCCAGUACAGAAAGGAUCACACCGAGAAGCAUCUGCGAGGCGGCUGCACAGCUCAAGGGAAGGCAGCUUCACUCAGUCAGCCUCGGCUUGUGCUUCAUGGACAAGGGAAACUGAGGCAGGACAGCACCACGGACAGUACAGAGGUGAGGUAUACCACUGAGGAGGCAUCCCUGGCUCUUGCUUGAGAUGUUUUCCCCUGGAAAGUGAACUCUGAAUGGGUACUGGCUGUGAUAAGACCAAGCACUGAGGCUCCUGGACUAGCCCAAAACGUCCAGCAGUAAAGCCCCACCCUUUUCCUUGCUUGGACCCACAGCCAUGGCAGGGAUCCAUGGGGAAAGGGACACUGAGACCAACUGAGUCCUGAGCACACCUCCACUCCAAAUCCGCAUCCAGGCACUGCAGGGUGAGCAGCUCAAGCAUCCAUCACAUAUUGAGGGUGUGCACAGGGCAUGGAAAAAGCUCCUGCUGUUACUCAUUAUAAGGAUAUCAUUGCUAACUCCUUUUGCAACUGAGAGGUAAAAAAUUAAUGGGUUCCCCUCCUCUCACCACACCCCCAGCCCAAGUGCUGAUGCCACAGGAACAUGUACUGGCUAAUCCUUAAACCCUGCUGAGCACAGCACUACCCCUGAACUCUGGGAAGCUUGUUUUUUCCAAAACCACAUGACACCUGGCACCUACAAGAGAAAAGUCGGGGGAGCAGCAUCCACAGGGGCAUGAGUGGGGAGGUGCAAGACCCAGCCUGGGGCUGGCUCGGACUCCAGCUGUCUAAGGGAAGGUAGUAGCAGGGAACAGUUCUGACAUGAUGCUGGGGGUGCAGCCAUCGUGCCUCCAAAUCUGAGGGCCUGACCCCUCUAACCCUUCUGCCUGUUUUCUUCUACUCCCAUGCAAUUUCUCAACUGGAGCUGUGAUUUCUCAACUCUAAGUCUUUGAGGGCAUUUUCAAAACACUCACCUACCUGAGUCUCUAGGGGAAAGGCCUUUCAAGGUGGGUCUGUUACUGGAAGGCUCCUGCCUGAAUUUUUGUGUCACCACCUGAUCGGACAUUGGCAGCUUCCCCUGCAAGAAGUGCACAGUCCUAAAAACACCCUGCUCCCCUCAAAACCGGGGGCUGCCAAAAGCACCCCUCUUAUAAACCUCCCACCCCAUCCCUCCCAGUCCUGCUUCAGCUGGGCUGCCCUUGAUUUCAGAGUCCCUUCGCCCUUUCAUAAAUUGUCAAGAAGAAGACUCUGAAUGCCACUUGAGUAACUCAUGUUCCAGGCAUGGCCAAGGCAUCAGAGCUCUUUUCAAGCUUCAAAUGCCACGGCUUAGAAGUGCUUGUUGCUCCCAUGGCGGCCCUGGCACUGCUCCCACCACAGCAGAAGAUGGACCCUGGUUAAUGAACAGCCUGGCAGGAGCAGGUUGCACUAUGGCCAGUUGCCCUGGGAUAGCCAGCACUGCCCAGAGCACUCCAGCCACUUCCUGGCAGCAAGGAUAAGUGAUUGCCAUUCACAGCCUCCAGCCCUGGGAAUGGCCCCCAGCUGGCUGUAGGUCUGUAUGUUGUGGUCAGUGGGAUUCAGGGAGUGCUGCCUUUCGCCCAUUAAGCAGCACUGGGAAGUGCUGGAUUGGUGUCGUGCCUCAAUUUCCCCACCCAGCAAAUGGUGAAUGAUGCUCAGCCACCCUUUGCAGCCUUGGCGUGGUCCAAAUGCUGAGCAUUCCAUGAUGUCCUUCAUUUUCCCAACUGCCUGAGGGCUGGGAGAGCUGUGACAUGCCAGAAAGUCCUUUGGCUGAUUAGCAAAACGACCCUCUCUGCUGUCAUAGGGGCAACAAUUCUCUUUAUUGCUCACAGGGGAGAUAUGUACAGAGGAGAAGGUUUGUUCUGACAUUAAAAUGUUUCAUGCAGGUUGUAAAAAGGAGGGUGAACUGGGGAGAAAAGAGCAGGUUUUCCAUCAGCAACUCCCCGUAAGGCAGCUGGGGGUGCAGGGAGAUCCCAGGCACCCAGCAGGAGCCCCUCUGUGUAAUAAGCAGGUCAACACCCUCCUGGGACUUGGGACAUCAAACUUGCCAAGGAGGUGGGGUGACCACCAGGCAGGAGAGCUGACACCUCCAGACCUCUCCUGGGGACCAAUGCCCACAGGGACACCAGUCCCCGAGGCAGAAGAGCAUGUCCCACAGGUGUGGAAAGAUCAGGAGAUGGUGGUGCCAUGGGGAGGUCGGGGACCCAUCACACACAGGGGGUGCCAGCGCAGAGGGUCUCUGUGAAAACGCCCAUCGCGAUCGUGUGAAGCCAAUUGAGAGGAGGAAGGAGGGUGGCUGGUUGGGUGCCUGCUACAUGGCAGUGGUGAUCACCUUCUCCUCGGGCUCCACCGUGUUCUCGUAGGCGUGCUGGUUCUCUUUGCACCUG